GGACGCCCGCCACUGCAACCGCGAAUAAAACAGCCUCACAGAAGAUCGUGUGUGAAGCAAAUGAUUUGAGAUGUUUCUCGCAGAUACACCUGGGAAGCGGCGCAGUGAUUGGCUGGAGCCUGAGGGCGGAAGUGGCGUCCGGACGUGCCUUCCCUGAGGGCGGAAGCGCUCCGUGAUUGGCUCGGAGGAACCCAGGGCGGAAGUGCCGUGCAGGGCUUGCCGGCACUAUGGGCGGAGGCUGCGGGGCCGGACCGGGCUCGGGCCGGCGAGGCGCGGUGCAGCAACGAGCAAACUGUGUAUGAUCCCAGGAGCAAAGGCACAGUCUUGUGUAGCAUUGUCAUUCUGCCCCACCGCUCUGAUAUCUAACAAAAAGAUGCCCUGGAUUUAAAGACGGUGUGUAUUAAAUGAAGUAUGAGAAGAAACAGCUUCUUCGGACACUUGCGCUCCUCUUCUUCAGCUCGUGGAGAAGGCUGACAGCCUGUCUCACUCUUGUCAGUGCUACCCCACCAGCUCCUUUAGGAGCCCAGCACCGCGUUUGGCCUGUUGCGAUCUUCCCGCUCCCCUCAUUUCUGUGCUGCAACGCCACCAUCCACGAGAAGUCAGAGAGGAGAAAAGCUCUUUCCAGAGAGAUGGAGAAGGAAUUAAUUAGACCUCUGCCUCAUCCUGCGAGACCAGAAGACAUGGAGUAACUACGACGUGGGGUGCAUUUUUCUGAUGCACUUGUGGUUUUCCACCUGUGGUUUUUCACUUGUGGUUUUCCACGUGGUUCGCACUGCUUCCAUUAUUGAGAAAACGGUUUGGGAAGCUGUGUCUGCCACUUCUCAGGAUUUUCUGCCACCACCUGCUGGCAAAAAAAAUCAGUAACGCAGGUGGAGCCAUGUAGGACUUCUCAGAGGUAAGCCUUCAACGUAUGGGGACCCCUAAACUCGUGAGCCGAGCACGCAAGACAAAUGUCCGUGGCACAAAGAUCAAGGACGACUUCUCAGAGGUAAGCAGCUUUCCCUUUGUUUCCCCGUCCUCUCAGGAGCCCUCUUUAUGAUGCUUGUACACACUUCAGGCUCACAACACUCAUUUUCUCCUCUACUUAGUAUUCCUAGUCCCUGCCUAACCCGUCUUCCCUCCCCCCACUUUCCAAAGACCUACAUGCUCUGCUCAGGUCCCUCCUGAGGCCUUACAGAUCUUUUAAAUCUGCUCAGCGUUCUUUCCGGCUUGUACUGUGCCAUUAUUUUUUCCCUGCUCCUUUUGAGAAUGUCUGUACCCUUUUCAGAUCUCGAUUGGGUUGGCUUUUUUGAACCCAUCUGCAUAGCCUUUUGUUUUUUAGAUAGUCUACUAAGGUAUGUUACUUCUCCGGUGAGUUAUUUUACUACAUUGAAUUGUAUUUUUGUGGUUUGUAAUCUGUUACACUCCUAGAUUAUUUCUACCUACGUAAAGAAAGGUUUCAGCUAAUUACAGUCAAAAACAGUUUUAGUUACCUACUUGGUCAUAUUGUUGUUUCAAUAAUCAGGACUGAAGCAAAAGCACAGGAAUUGUUGCCCCUAGUAACACUCCACACACUGUUGAGCUAAGCCAAAUAAAAAACGCAGCUGCUGCUCUCUUUAUCCCUUCCUGUGCUUUGCCCCUCCUCUUUCCCAGGUGAUUGGGGCAGGGUGCCGGGUGGGGCCUAAUGGUAUAUGAGCCGCAGGUGUCCUAUCAGAGAGCUCAUUCUGCCUGAGCUGCUUUUUGGGUAGGUAAACCUUAGGAGGAAUCGGUCAAAGGAAACAGCAACUGUCAAGUUGCUGUUCGGCAAAAAUCUGUCAAGUUCUUGUUCGGCAACUCGGUGACUGGUUUGAUCUACUUCUCAGAUGUAGAGGUAAAUGGACUGCUCUUUUGAAAUGAUAAAAUAAAAAACAUGAAGUUUGUCAAA